rnacentral:rRNA from 1 species
UCUAAGCCAUGCGAGUCAUUGUAGCAAUACAAGGCAGACGGCUCAGUAACGCGUAGUCAAUCUACCCUAUGGACGGGAAUAACCUCGGGAAACUGAGAAUAAUGCCCGAUAGAACAUUAUGCCUGGAAUGGUUUAUGUUUCAAAUGAUUUAUCGCCAUAGGAUGGGACUGCGGCCUAUCAGUUUGUUGGUGAGGUAAUGGCCCACCAAGACUAUUACAGGUACGGGCUCUGAGAGGAGUAGCCCGGAGAUGGGUACUGAGACAUGGACCCAGGCCCUAUGGGGCGCAGCAGGCGAGAAAACUUUGCAAUGUGCGAAAGCACGACAAGGUUAAUCCGAGUGGUUUCUGCUAAAGAAACCUUUUGUCAGUCCUAGAAACACUGACGAAUAAGGGGUGGGCAAGUUCUGGUGUCAGCCGCCGCGGUAAAACCAGCACCUCAAGUGGUCAGGAUGAUUAUUGGGCCUAAAGCAUCCGUAGCUCGUUUUGUAAGUUUUCGGUUAAAUCCAUGCGCUUAACGUAUGGGCUGCCGGGAAUACUGCAUAACUAGGAAGUGGGAGAGGUAGACGGUACUCGGUAGGAAGGGGUAAAAUCCUUUGAUCUAUUGAUGACCACCUGUGGCGAAGGCGGUCUACCAGAACACGUUCGACGGUGAGGGAUGAAAGCUGGGGGAGCAAACCGGAUUAGAUACCCGGGUAGUCCCAGCUGUAAACUAUGCAAACUCAGUGAUGCAUUGGCUUGUGGCCAAUGCAGUGCUGCAGGGAAGCCGUUAAGUUUGCCGCCUGGGAAGUACGUACGCAAGUAUGAAACUUAAAGGAAUUGGCGGGGGAGCACCACAAGGGGUGAAGCCUGCGGUUCAAUUGGAGUCAACGCCAGAAAUCUUACCCGGAGAGACAGCAGAAUGAAGGUCAAGCUGAAGACUUUACCAGACAAGCUGAGAGGAGGUGCAUGGCC